UUCAUAGGCAGUAUAUCUGGAACAAGUUUUUAUGUGAUUUAGUCUUGUGCCCAGCAGUUUUGUGUUAAAAACACUUUUCCUUUCACUUUUGGACAGAGGCAGCGGUGACAACGGUGGAACAAAAGUGACUGUGUCGAGCAUUGAUCAUGGCAUUAUCAUGGGACAACUGGAUGACCGGACUGGGAUAUGAUCCAAAGGGCUUCAGUGUUGUCAAACGCUAUGAUGAAGAAUACUAUGGAAAAUCUGCGAUUGGAGAUCUCUUUAUCGUGAAAACAAAAUUCACAUGCCUCUAUCAUGCUGGCAUGUUCUAUGAUGAAGAUCUGAUUGUUCAUUUCUUAAUGAAUCACAGUCCACAUGAGGAGAGGCACAGCUCAAGGAGCUUAUUGACUGUCUCUUCUAGUUCCAGUUCCAUUCCAGGUCUUAUACAAAUUGUGCCUGUGGACGUGUUUUCUGGAGGACAAAAAUUUACAAUUUACAGGAAGAAAGAUGAAAUCGAUGUACAAUCAUUUAAAGUGUAUGUUAGAAAACGAAUGAAGGAAAAACCAAAGUAUAAUCUUUUGAACUCCAACUGCAUUCAUUUUGCCAUGGACUGUCUUGGGCUGACGGCAAAGAAGUGUUGAUCUUAAACCCUCUUUAAUCCUGAUCAACUGACUGGAUGUUGUUGCUGUUGGACGGACAGACGGGUCACACCUCUGAUGACCACAGAGUAGAUUUCAUUCUGUUUUACAUGUUAAAGGGUUUCAUCAACAUUAUUUCUGCUGUAUUUGCUCUACAAACACAAUAAAUUUCAUUUGACUAUUA